ensembl:lincRNA
AAAUGUGGGCAUCAAAUGCCCAUUUUAAUGCUCCUUUUAAAAAAAUUUACCAUGAUGCCCCAGGUUAAGGUCAAGAUUACAUCUGAGCUACGUUUGCUUCCCAUCACUAGGAUGGUGUCUAACACAUGACAAAUGUCCAGUAAAUAUACUGAAAUACUUGAAUACUGAUUUUGAAUGUUCAGACAUACAAAACUUUGUGGGGGUGCACAUAUGUAUAAAAUUCACAUUUCUGUUUUUGAUGAGCCGACCACCUAGCAAGCAAAGCCUGCAUAUAAGAAAAGUAUAAAUAAAAAGAUAUUGUAUAACUGCAUUCACUGAAAAACGAUGCCUGUAGGCUUGAGCUUGGUAUUGAUCUGGAAAGCUUUGUGUUAGAAGAAAGGCCUGAGUAGCAACAUAAAAGGAAGUAGAUUCAAAUAGCUAUGCAGAGUGUUUUAAGCCUGGGGAGUAAGAGAGAAACAUUCACUAUCUUUGUACCAUACUUAUGGGGAAUGGGAUGGAAAUACUCACUGCAGUAGAGACGGAUUGAGAGAUGUUGAAGAGGUAAAUGUGUGUGCAUGUGUGUGGGGGAGGGAGUCAUACGUUAAAAUUUGGAGCACACAGCAGUAGAUUUUAAGUAUGUCUUCGUCAUUUUUGCCCUCUCUGCUUCAGCAUGGAACUCCUCGGCAUUCUAGAUUGUCCGUUCAUCACAGAUUCCUUGUGUCUCCUCCAGAAUGCAGAAGAGAGCAAUUAAGAUAUUUUCAAAGUAGAAAGUCUCCCUAUCAAGUAAUUUCACUUUCUUCCCUGCAGUUUCCUGAUGUCCUUAAAGCCUGUGCUACACACAAGCAACACAAGCCUUGUAACUUCCAAUUUGAUAGCUCCUUCUUACUUUCACUUCAAUAUAUACUUGAACUGGACAAUUCCAGGAGAGCUAAAGGAUCAAGAACCAGGAGGGGCAUACAAGGUGCACUAAGGAAAGAAUCGAUUGAAUUGAAUCCCUGCAGAAUGUGGACUAUGCAGAAACACUGA